GGGUGAGUGGCUCAGUGGUUAGAGCCUAGGGCUUGUAACCAAAAGGUUUCAAGUUCGAACUUUGCAAGAAGCA
rnacentral:tRNA from 1 species